UACGUAGGGUGCAAGCGUUGUCCGGAAUUAUUGGGCGUAAAGAGCGUGUAGGCGGCCCGAUUAGUCCGCUGUGAAAGUCCAGGGCUCAACCCUGGAAUGCCGGUGGAUACUGUCGGGCUAGAGUCCGGAAGGGGCGAGUGGAAUUCCUGGUGUAGCGGUGAAAUGCGCAGAUAUCAGGAGGAACACCAAUGGCGAAGGCAGCUCGCUGGGGACGUGACUGACGCUGAGACGCGAAAGCGUGGGGGAGCAAACAGG
rnacentral:rRNA from 1 species